UCUUGUUUCGAUUGGGGAAGUCGUCUUUUGUUGAGUGAUGUGGGUGUUUUCCGCGGCGUGGAUGUGAAAGUUUCUUGUGUAAACUGUUUAUUGAAGAAAAAAAGAAUGGUUUAAGACAAAAGAUUUUCUUCGUCAUUCCUUUCUUUGCAGCAUUUGCAAUUUGUAGUUAAUUGCUGAAGCGCAACUGCAAGUACGCAGCGCAUUGGAGCGUUCGUGUGCCAAAUCUACAGCAACAUAAGCUAUCAAUCAGUCAGUCAGUCAUUUACAAUAUUCAUAUUCAAUUACUCACGCACUCACAUACAAACAUAAAUACCUAAAUAAAAAAUUAAACGAGAUACAACAACAAUAGCAGCAGCAAAAAAUUAAAAAUAAAAAAAUAAACGCAAAUGUAGCACAUCUUAGCAGCUCAGCAGCACUCGGAUUUAUUCGCAUCGAAAAUUUGUAAUUGCUCAUUGUAGUAAACAAAGAAUACAACAAAAACAAAACACCAAAGCAUCAAUGUUUUAGUUAGAGUUAUUUAUCUAGUAGUAGAAAAGAGUGAUCUGAAGGGAUCUUCACACUUUCGCUCGCAAAAAGUUACGGAACAUUUCAACGAAAUCAUCAAAAAUGUACCAAAAAUCAACAGAAACUACAGUAAAAACAACAACAUCAACAACACAUGCACUAGCUAUGAAAAUGCAAAUAGAUUCCGGUGAGUCAGCAGCAAAGCAGCGCCGCCAUACCACGACCUCGACCUCGACCACCACCACCACCAAUACACGGUGCCAUAUCUCCUGCUGGAGCACGCUCAUUGUUGCGCUCUUAGCAGCGCUUAGCACUUUCGCCAGCCAAUCUCAAGCAUUCGAUUUGGGCAAUGAAUUGAAUCUCAAGCCAACAAAGUAUACAGAAUGGACAAAGAAUGUCACGUACGUUAGCUCCACAGCUUAUAAUGCGCGUGGCAUGCAGCCACUAUACGAUAUUACACACAAAGUUAUUUGGUUUUUCACCGGCGAACAUCCACUGCCAGAAGGCUACCUCGUGGUCAAGGAUAACGAUAUUGAGUUUGGUCCGAAAGUUGAACGCAACGAAUGGAUUGAUUUAAUUAAACACUAUUGGCUAAUAUGGCUAAUUGUUUUGCUCGUUGGACUGCUAAUUGUUACAAUGCCAGUUGUUGGCCUCUGCUUUUGUUGCUGUCGCUGUGCUGGUGCUUGCGGUGGUCGCUCGGAGCCGUUUGACAAGAAACACGACACCUGCCGCCGUGUGUUCUUGGGAUUUUUGCUCAUAGCAUUGGCAACAGGUUUACUUUUCGGUGUUAUUGUCACAUUUGCCACAAACAGUUAUAUGCAACAAGGUAUUGAGAAUAGCACAAAUCGUGUACGUGAUGGCAGCAUUGAUACCCGUAAAUUCCUCGAAGUUACAUCCGAGCAAAUCGAUCAUGUUUUAAUUACAAAUUACAAACAAUUGUCUAUACAGUUGGACAACAUUUUGCGGGAAACAUCCAGUUUCAUUAUAAAAGAGUUGGAACAGAAAUCCAUGGCAGUUUCGCUUAUUUACCUUACAGACUUUUUAGAAAAACUGCCACAGCUUAGAUUAAAGUUACAAAAAAUGAAAAACAUUACCAACGAACUGCGCGUUAAUGCCUCACAAUUGAGUGAUGGUUUGCGUGGUGUAAAACGUGAUCUGCUAAUAAUGCUUACAAAAUGUAAUAAUAAGGCAUGCCAAGAUGUGCUCAACAAAUACGAAAUCGGCAAGCUUGAUGCUAACGGUAUACAUUAUGAUCAGAUGGUAGACCGAUAUUUUCCAAAGCUGCCGGAUGUUACAAAAAUUAUCGAAAAUUUAGAUAAUUUGAUAAGUAAGGACAUAGCUUCGGCUGGCAAGCGUGGACGUGAUAUGCUCAGUCAAAUGCGAGCGCAUCUCAAUGAAACAAUUGGAAAAUAUACACCAGAAGUUAUUAAAUCUAUAAAUAAAGCAGGCAAUGCUUUCCAACACGCCUCAAAUGAAAUCAAAAUGGAACUUAACAAAUUGUCGCUUGUUAUAAAAGACAAUACUAAAAAGUACACUGGUGUUGCGGAUGAUUAUUUGGAUGAAUAUGGACCGUAUAGAUUUUAUUUCGGCAUAGCAGUUUGCUCUAUACUAUUGCUGAUCUUGGUUUGCUUAGUAGCUGCAUUGCUGUGUGGCAUAUGUGGCAAACGCCCAGACGGUUAUGGUGACGAUUGCUGUAAUAAAGGCUCUGGUUCGCGUUUCUUGAUGAUGGCUGUAGCACUGAUUUUCCUAUUCAUUUCAUUGAUUGCUUUAGUAGCGCUGGCUCACUUUUUGAUCGGUCUAAUCGCCUACCGUGGCUUAUGUCUUCCAUUAAAGGACCCUCAAAACGAUGAAAUAUUCGCUCAACUUGACAACUCUAUUGACUUGAAUAAUGUGCUUUAUCCGCCACAAAAUAAGGGCAAGUUGACUUCAGGUGGUUUACCACCUUUACGCAUAUCUCAUGUGAUCACCGCCUGUCAGCGUAAUCAAACCAUUUACGAAGUGUUGCAUAUACAUAAUCGCAUCGAUAUACAUGAAAUAAAUGAUUACCCAGCUCAGUAUAAGAUCAAUCAAACCUUAGAUGAUUUAGUUGCUGGUAUUUCUUUUGACGACAGCGAUGUGCUCAUACUAAGUCCAGAGGAUAAACAACGCAUACUGAGCCUCGGCGAAUCAGCAUUGAAGAACUUUGAUUCUGCACAAUAUAUUGAUAAUCUUAACGAUACAAUAACCAAAUAUUCAUUAACGGAAAUUGCUCAACAAUUAAGCCAGACAGCAAAUAAAAUCGAAAAUAGCGAUGAUAUGAAAGAUGUACGAGUUAGUUUGCGUAAUCAGGCUUUACAUUUGGAGACAUACGAACACAAUUUGGCGAUACCAAUGAAAAAUCAAUCAGUGGAACUUAUACGGCUAGCAGAUGAUUUGGAUCAUAGCCUACGCUAUAAGGAUCAUCCAUUCCACGAAUCCAUACCGUUGCUGGUCAAUGAGAUUGAACGUGCGCAGACGUUCUUCCGCGUAGAUGGACGUCAGUUUGUUAGGGCAACCGCAGAAAAUUUGACACACUACUUUGCAAGUGAAAUAGAGAAUUAUUUGAGAAUGGUCGUGCAGGCAGUCGAGCGGAAAAUUGGCUUAUGUGCGCCGUUAGCUAAUGUCUACGACUCUGGUAUAGUUGCACUGUGUAGUUCUGUUGUUAAUCCAUUGAAUGGUUUCUGGGCUGGCGCCGCAUUGUGUGUUGUGCUCUUUUUGCCCACCUUGAUGGUCGCGGUCAAAUUGGCAAGCUUGUACCAGAAGUCAGAUCCAUAUCCUGGUCCACUAGUCGAAUCGGAGUAUUUGUAUGACGCAUAUAGUGAACGUGAUCACAUUCCAUUGGCAAAUGGGCCAAAGAACAAGCGACGAAAGAAUAAAGACCGACGUCGCGGUCGUGAAUACUAUGAGGAACCCAUCGCUUCCACGGCGCAUGGUGUGCCACCAACUGUUGGUGUGCGUGACACUCGCUACAACGACAUGGCACCCAAACCUAAGUGUAUUGUUGGUUCCGUUGAAACGAGGCCAAGAUCAUUGACGGGCGAUGGUUUCUAUUAGGUUAACAUGUUGACUACGGUGAUGAUGGUGAUAAGCGAUGAUGAUGAUGAUGAUGAUGAUGAUGAUGAUGAUGAUGUUUAUGGUGGUGUUAGUGCUGUGACAUUGGGAUGGCGGCCCACCGAGAUACCAAAAUCCCCCAAUGGCACCACCUGCAUCCGAGUAUGAACGCCCACCGCCAUAUUAUUA
rnacentral:misc_RNA from 1 species